rnacentral:misc_RNA from 1 species
UUCGAGCGUCAUUACAACCCUCAAGCAAUGCUUGGUAUUGGGCUCCGUCGCUUACCCGGCGGGCCUUUAAACCAGUGGCGGCGCGUCGAGGCCCUGAGCGUAGUAAAUCUCCUCGCUAUAGGGACCCGGCGGACGCUGGCCAUCAACCCCCACCUUCUUAGUUUGACCUCGGAUCAGGUAGGGAUACCCGCUGAACUUAA